UACGGAGGGAGCUAGCGUUGUUCGGAAUUACUGGGCGUAAAGCGCACGUAGGCGGCUUUGUAAGUUAGAGGUGAAAGCCCGGGGCUCAACUCCGGAACUGCCUUUAAGACUGCAUCGCUUGAAUCCAGGAGAGGUGAGUGGAAUUCCGAGUGUAGAGGUGAAAUUCGUAGAUAUACGGAAGAACACCAGUGGCGAAGGCGGCUCACUGGACUGGUAUUGACGCUGAGGUGCGAAAGCGUGGGGAGCAAACAGG
rnacentral:rRNA from 1 species